rnacentral:rRNA from 1 species
GGAAUUUUGGUCAAUGGGGGAAACCCUGAACCAGCAACGCCGCGUGAGGGAUGAAGGCCCUCGGGUCGUAACCCUCUGUCGGGAGGGAAGAACAGUUUCCGUUCGAAUAGGGCGGGAACCUGACGGUACCCCCAAAGGAAGCACCGGCUAACUCCGUGCCAGAAGCCGCGGUAAUACGGAGGGUGCAAGCGUUGUUCGGAAUCAUUGGGCGGAAAGCGCGUGUAGGCGGCCAGGCAAGUCGGUUGUGAAAGCCCGAGGCUCAACCUCGGAACUGCAUUCGAAACUGCCUGGCUAGAGUCCCGGAGAGGAAGGCAGAAUUCCCGGUGUAGGGGUGAAAUCCGUAGAUAUCGGGAGGAAUACCAGUGGCGAAGGCGGCCUUCUGGACGGUGACUGACGCUGAGACGCGAAAGCGUGGGGAGCAAAC